rnacentral:misc_RNA from 1 species
AUCGUACGAAGAGAUCGCGCAUAUCAGACACACAUUUCCCUUCUAUUUAAACUGUGAAGAACUGAAAAGAAUGAAUACAAAGUAGGAUUACUGGACACAGCUAAAAGUAUUUGUGAAGAAGAGUAUGGAAUAAGGCACUGCUAUGGCGUUGAGAACCAAUAAACGUACUUACGAUGAGUGGGUGUUUUCUUUACCGAAAAAGUGGAGACACUACACAUCGUCCACUUCAAGUUUAAAGCAGAUUUUUCCAAGGACAACAACACUGAGCAGAGGAAUGAAUAAAAGAUAGUUGUUUAUCAAUGAUGUUUAUCAAUGAUGUUUAUCAAUGAUGUAUAUAUAAAAGACUACCAACAAAAAAAUAGAAGAUAUCGACUGGUUUCAAUCUCUACUGAGAGCUUAUGACCUGCAUAUGGAAUUAUUUUUGGAUUCAUGUUCAAAAUCAAGUCGGGAAAUCGUAUUUCCAAAUGAUAUUGAUGAUGAAAACUUUGACAAUUUUGUUUUGAAGAAACAUUGUAAAAAUUUUAUAUGUACAACGACUCCAAAAGAAUCAAAAGGAAAAGAAAUGAACAGAGAGCUGUGUGAUUGCAUUGCAAAGUGCCUGGAAAAGAAAUUGGUUUUAAUACAACUAGGCAAGAUGUCUUCAGAAAUCAAGCGCUGGUAGUCUGAUAUGCAGACGGCUAUUGCUGAAAAACUUGAAGCACAACAAUUGCUGGAAGAAAAUAAAGUGGAAACCUUGUGCUUUAAAGACCAAGUGGAGAAACUAACUAAAAUAGUUAGAGACAUUAAGGAGGAAAUAACAAAAGAAAGGGAACGAUCAACGAAAAUGUCACUUAAAUUGCAAGAAAUAACUAAAGAUAAAGAAGAUCUCUUAAUACGGUUAAGCAAGAUAGCCGGAUCUAAAUUGACCUCUAACAACCCUGAUAUAGCGGACCUGAGUGACGACAACCGACCGACCAAACUUGCGGAAAAAUUUGGUCAGUUAUAUGAUGACGCGUGGACAGAUUCUUUGGAGGAGUUAACGGAAGUGGAAACAAAGCUGGAUGAAGGAGUGGCGAUAGGCUUCCUGCUGCAAAUCAUCCUGGCAGCGUACCAGUUUUGUCGUAGUCCCCGCUCCAUGUUUCUUGACCUCACGGACUGUCAAACGAUUAUGACAUGUGCAAACUUGAAAGACAUGAAAGUCCUCAUUAAAAUCACAGAAUCGUCAAAAGUGGACAUACAACCGAGGAUGAAAAUGAGUCUACACGCUAAGGAAACUGUUUCUGAGAUGCAAAAGAAUUUUUUUGGUAUCCUCAAAGGUAUUUUCAAUGAUAUAAAUAGGACAAACAAAUUUCGUCCGUCCGUAUCUGACGAAUUAAACAAAAAUUCAUGGGAAGUGGACGAGGUUAAAGAAACCAAUCCUUUGGACAAUCAUUUUACAACAAACGUGUAUAAAAAGGACGUCAUCAAUGUAUUGCAGCGUUCUCAAGAAGAACCAGCUAAUAUGUUAGGACACACAGAAUUUAGUGAAUGUAAAAAGUUAUCAAACUCCGCAAAAGGUGACUUUUUGCAACCACGAUGCAAAACUAACCCCCAAGACGGAUUUGCACUGAAGAAAGAAGAAAUGCAGACAAUGCUUACAUUUCCUUUUAAAAGUAAAGUAGAGUCGGCAGGUCCUAAAACCAGAUUUCCAAAAACGACUCACUUUGCCGAGCGCUGUGUAGAGUUGUGUUGGUUUAUGCAGACAACUCAGCCACCGAUACAUCUCAGUGCUCGUAUUCCGGACGAUGGGAGGAUGAACAAUGAUAUAUUUAGAGCGUACAUGAAAUCGGGGACGGAAGUAGAUUACAUUGUAUGGCCUGCCAUGUAUUUGCAUGAAAAUGGACCUUUGUUGUCCAAAGGUAUCGCUCAGCCAAAAUGAAUUGAUGCGGCUCACAGGAGAUAUCUUGUUAUGUUCGAAGCUUAAACUUUGUUAAUCUUUAAAAAUUGAAAUGAAAUGUUUUGUUAU